rnacentral:rRNA from 1 species
UCGCCUGUUUUUCAAAAACAUCGCCUCUUGCUAAUCCGAAAGUAUAAGAGGUCCCGCCUGCCCUGUGACUAUAUGUUCAACGGCCGCGGUAUUUUGACCGUGCGAAGGUAGCGCAAUCACUUGUCUUUUAAAUGGGGACCUGUAUGAAUGGCAUAACGAGGGCUUGACUGUCUCCUCUUUCAAGUCAAUGAAAUUGAUCUCCCCGUGCAGAAGCGGGGAUAGACACAUAAGACGAGAAGACCCUAUGGAGCUUUAGACACUAAAGCAGAUCAGCAUUAAUACCCUGAACAUAGGGCACGAAUAUACUGAACCCUGCCCUAAUGUCUUAGGUUGGGGCGACCGCGGAGAAAUAAAAAACCCCCGCAAGGACCGAAUGUACUACAUUCACAACCAAGAGCGACAGCUCUAAUUAACAGAUAUUUCUGACCAAUAAGAUCCGGCAACGCCGAUUAAUGAACCAAGUUACCCUAGGGAUAACAGCGCAAUCUCCUCUUAGAGCCCGUAUCAACGAGGAGGUUUACGACCUCGAUGUUGGAUCAGGACAUCCUAAUGGUGCAGCCGCUAUUAAGGGUUCGUUUGUUCAACGAUUAAAGUCCUACGUGAUCUGA